GACGAACGCUGGCGGCGUGCUUAACACAUGCAAGUCGAACGGUGAUGCUCCAGCUUGCUGGAGUGGAUCAGUGGCGAACGGGUGAGUAACACGUGAGCAACCUGCCCCAGACUCUGGAAUAAGCGCUGGAAACGGCGUCUAAUACUGGAUACGAAACUGGCCCGCAUGGGCAUGGUUUGGAAAGUUUUUCGGUUUGGGAUGGGCUCGCGGCCUAUCAGCUUGUUGGUGAGGUAAUGGCUCACCAAGGCGACGACGGGUAGCCGGCCUGAGAGGGCGACCGGCCCAACCGGGGACGAAGACACGGCCAAGACCCCCCGGGGGGGAAGGGGGGGGGAAUAUGGCAAAAGGGGAGAAAGCUGGAGGCGGCGACGCGGGGUGGGGAAGGAGGCCCUUGGGGUUGAAAACCUUUUUCAGCGGGAAAAAAGGAAAGGGGCCGGUCCCGACAGAAGAAACACCGGCUACCUACGC
rnacentral:rRNA from 1 species